GAUGAAGAACGUAGCGAAAUGCGAUACUUGGUGUGAAUUGCAGAAUCCCGUGAACCAUCGAGUCUUUGAACGCAAGUUGCGCCCGAAGCCAUUAGGCCGAGGGCACGCCUGCCUGGGCGUCACACGUCGUUGCCCCCCAUCUACUCCUUCGGGAUUGCGGGGGGCGGAUGAUGGCCUCCCGUGCGCCUCGUCGCGCGGUUGGCAUAAAUGCCAAGUCCUCGGCGACGCACGCCACGACAAUCGGUGGUUGCGAAACCUCGGUUGCCCGUCGUGUGCGGUCGUCGCGCAUCGAGGGCUCGAAAAUAUUGCCGGGCUCCGGCUCGGCUUUCAACGCGACCCCAGGUCAGGCGGGGUUACCCGCUGAAUUUAAGCAUAUCAAUAAGCGGAGGA
rnacentral:misc_RNA from 1 species